rnacentral:rRNA from 1 species
AUACGGAAGGUCCGGGCGUUAUCCGGAUUUAUUGGGUUUAAAGGGAGCGCAGGCGGAGAUGCAAGCGUGACGUCAAAUUUCGGGGCUCAACCCCGUCUCGCGUCGCGAACUGCGUCCCUUGGUUGCGGGAAGGGGAGGCGGAACUCGUGGUGUAGCGGUGAAAUGCAUAGAUAUCACGAAGAACUCCGAUCGCGAAGGCAGCCUUCCGGCCCGUCAACGACGCUCAUGCUCGAAGGUGCGGGUAUCAAACAGGAUUAGAUACCCUGGUAGUCCGCACAGUAAACGAUGGACACCCGCGGUUUGGCCUGUACGGCUGAGCCGCCAAGCGAAAGCGUUAAGUGUCCCACCUGGGGAGUACGCCGGCAACGGUGAAACUCAAAUGAAUUGACGGGG